rnacentral:rRNA from 1 species
AGAUGCGAGAGUAGAGCAUACAAUAAGCGGAGGAAAAGAAACUAACUAGGAUUCCCUCAGUAACGGCGAGUGAAGCGGGAAGAGCUCAAAUUUGAAAUCUUCAAGGUUUUACCUUGACGAAUUGUAGUUUAAAGAAGUGUUUUCUGUUAGAGUGUUAGGUAAAAGUUCUUUGGAAUAGGACAUCAUAGAGGGUGAGAAUCCCGUAUUUGACCUAUUACUUUCUAGCGUUGUGAUACACUUUCAAAGAGUCGGAUUGUUUGGGAAUGCAGUCCAAAAUGGGUGGUAAAUUUCAUCUAAAGCUAAAUAUUGGCGAGAGACCGAUAGCGAACAAGUACCGUGAGGGAAAGAUGAAAAGAACUUUGAAAAGAGAGUUAAACAGUACGUGAAAUUGUCAAAAGGGAAGCGUUUGACACCAGUGUUGUUUUUCCGAAAAUCAAUUAAAAAUUGAUUCAUGCCAGGUUGUAUUGACCUUAUCAGCUUGCAAUUUGGUUUUAGGUCUCUUUUUGAUGCACUUUUCGGUUAACAAGUCAACAUCAAUUUCCUUUGCUGUAAAAAGGUAAGAGGAAGGUGGCUUCAAUUUCGGUUGAAGUGUUUAUAGCCUUUUAUCUCUGCAGUCGGGGAGAUUGAGGUCUGCAGCGUAGAUCCUUCGGGGCUAGAUACAUUUAUGCUAAGUUAUAGCUUUUCAUAGACAACUUGUUGACUAUGUUUAGUCAUGUAGCUUACUCGUAAGUGCUAUUUUACCUACGCUUAGGAUGUUGACACACGCGCGUGCUCG